CCCUUAGAUGUUCUGGGCUGCACGCGCGCUACACUGAUGCGCUCAACGAGUUUACGACCUUGCCCGGAAGGGUUGGGUAAUCUUUUUAAAACGCAUCGUGAUAGGGAUAGAUUAUUGAAAUUAUUAAUCUUGAACGAGGAAUUCCUAGUAAACGCAGAUCAUCAAUCUGCAUUGAUUACGUCCCUGCCCUUUGUACACACCGCCCGUCGCACCUACCGAUUGGAUGGUCCGGUGAAGCCUCGGGAUUGUGGUUCUUGCCGCUUUAUUGUGGCGUGACCGCGAGAACUUGUCUAAACCUUAUCAUCUAGAGGAAGGUGAAGUCGUAACA
rnacentral:rRNA from 1 species